UUUUUUUUUUCCUGUGCACAGGCGUGUGAAAGUUCCACGGCCAGGAACUGAACUUGUGCCAUAGCAAUGACAACGCCCAAUCCUUAACCACUAGGCCACCAGGGAAUUCCUACUUUUGCAAAUUUUACAGACAUUUAUGACCUUAGGAACACAAGGCCAGGGUCCUUCCCAGGGCCUGUGCAAUUGCGAGGCCUUGACUGACACAUAAACCUCAUGGUGAGUCCACCCCUAGACCUGGCCCAUGGGAGAUUUGGGAAUUCUGAAGCCAGGCCAGAAGCUGAGUUCAUGUCUCCUACUCCACCCUCACCUCCAUGCCCUGUAGGCAAGCCUUUCACCCAGAUCUUCCAGAGCUUCCAACCUGGAACUUAGUCCCUACUCACAGUACCUUCUGUGUGGCCACAGCCUAACGGCGGGUUUUUCCAGCCAGGAUCGCUGAGGGAUCCUCUGUUCCAUCCAGUCGAAUCCUCCUUUGCCUUCCAGGCUUAGGGGUCCAAGCCCAUAAGCCCCAGGAGGCCUUCUUUGCCUGCCCUUGCCUCCCCAGGCAGUGCCCGCACUGCGCUUGGCACUGAGGUCUUUGGUCAGUUCAGAGUUGUUAUCUGAGUCCCUGCAGUGUUGUCAAUCCAGUGUCACCCAAAUGUGGUCAGUCUAUAUGGACACAUCCUGAGCCCCUCUUCUUGCAGCCAGGCCUGGCAGGAAUGGAGGGUGGGAGACAGAGAAGAGACUCAGACCCAAUCCCAGCCCUCCUAGUCUAGCUCAGUCUGAUGGUCAGUAAAUGGACUGAGUCUUAAAACUUUUGAUUGUAAAUCAACUAUUCUUUAAUUUUUUUUUAAAGUGGAAUUCCCAUUGUGGCUCAGUGGGUUAAGAACCUGACAAGUGUCCAUGAGGAUGCAGGUUCGAUCCCUGGCCUCUCUCAAUAGGCUAAAGAUCCCAUGUUGCUGUAAGCUGCAGGGUAGGUGGCAAAUGUGGCUCAGAUCUGGUGUGGCUGUGGCUGUGGUGUAGGCCAGUAGCUACAGCUCCAAUUCGACCCCUAGUCUGGGAACUUCCAUAUGCCGAAGGAUAUGGCCCUAAAAAGAAAGAAAAAAAAAAGUGCAUUUAGAGAAAAAAAAAAAAAACUUUUAGGCUUAAGAAUAACUUAGAAAUGGACUAGUCGGUGGAGAGUUCCCGUCACGGCGUAGCAGAAACAAAUCCAACUAGGAACCAUGAGGUUGCAGGUUCAAUCCCUGGCCUCGCUCAGUGGGUUAAGGAUCUGGAGUUGCCCCAAGCUGAAGUGCCGGUUGCAAAUGUGGCUCAGAUCUGGCAUGGCCAUGGCAUAGGCUGGGAGCUGCAGCUCUGAUUCAUCCCCUAGCCUAGGAACUUCCAUAUGCCAUGAGCGGGGCCCUAAAAAGAAAAAAAAAAAAAAGGAGGUAAUAGUUUUCAGGGACAGCCGUGCCUGACGUAUAGUGGGUAGUCAGUCAGUGAUAAUUCCCUACACUUACCCAGUGUCUCCCAGCAGAAUGUCUCCCUCUCAAGACCCUCUUUCAGGAGCCAGUUCCAGUCCACAACUUCCAGGGAUGAGGAGAGGACUGGGCAGGUGGAUGAAGUGUAGACAACAGAACAGGAGAAAGGAGUAGGAACCAAAUAAAGGUGCAUAUGCCAAGUAUGGCCAGUAGGUGGCAGAGGCAUCCGUGGAAUGAGCUUUUCCUCCUGCAGAUGCACCUCAAUUUCUCCCAGACCAAGCCGCCUUCAUACAGUGAACACAAGGGUGUGAAUAAGUGUUUGGCCUGGUGGGAGGUGUGUGUACAAAGAAGUGUGUGUGCAUGCCUGUGGUAUGAACGCACCUGUGCAUGGGUAUGUGAAUAAUAUGUAUACAGUGAUUCUGGGUGAGAGAACUGAGUGUCACCAGUGUUGUGAAGGGGUGUGUGAGGAGAGGUUUGUGCUCAGUCAGGUGUGUGUGUGUGUGUGGCCUCAGGGUCAGUGUAUGUCUAUUUGCGAGCAGCUGUGUGGUGCCUGUGGACAGCCCUCCGUGCAGUUCAGCCUGUUACCGUUUUGGGUCUUGAGCCCCUGCAGCCUCCAUCGAAUCCUGGGGCAAAGCACACAGUUGACAUACAAUCCAUACCCCCUUUCAGAGGGUUCUGGAAUCAUUGUGAACCCCCUGGGGGGCUCCCCUGAGUAAGGGGAUACAUUCAAAUGUUAAUAGAAUGGGGAACUAUGGGUGAUUUUUUUCCGCUUCUUUUCAAGCUUAUUCUGUUUCUAUAAUGAGCAUUCUGCAUCAACCAUCAACAUCACUGAAGGGAAAAACCCUUGUUUUUUUUAAUUUUAGGGCCACACCCAUGGCAUAUGGAGGUUCCCAGGCUAGCAGCAACCCCAGAUCUGAGCCACGUCUGCGACCUACCCCACAGCUCACGGCAACGGCGGAUCCUUAACCCACUGAGCGAGGCCAGGGACAGAACUCGAAACCUCAUGGUUCCUAGUCGGAUUCAUUUCCGCUGUGCCACAAUGGGAACUCUCCUUCCACCGAUCUUUCCUGCCCUCUCCCCCAACCCCUGAGGAGGCAGCUGGGUUCCCCUGCAUCUGGGCAGUGUGGUGGGGGCCCAGCAGCCUGCUGAGAGAGAGCUGGUCUUGCCUUGAUAGAAAGAGCCCUGAUAGCAGCUAUGGGACAUCCAAGCAGAGCAAACGGUCAGCACAGAACAAUCAGAGAAGGCUUCCUGGAGGCAGAGGGAGUAGUGUUGACCUGGAAGUGAGAUGGAGUUGGCACCUGCCUGUCCCAUUUCUCUGAGGACUGCCUGACCUUGGGCUGGGCCUCAGAAGCCACCUUCCGGUAGAGGGUCCCCCUCUCUCUAAGGGAGUUUGAGGUGGCAGCCAGGCAAGAUUGAAUCUGGACUCCUAGAAUCCUCCACUGGGAAGGAGCAUGAGAGGUGAUGUGAAUUUUCAGGCAACUGGAAGCUACUGCAGGUGAAAAGAAGAGUGUGUUUCCCCAUCAAUAACAAUGUGCCCUCAUUACAUGCAUAGCUGUUGUCUUGUUGGGUCCUCAAGAGAAUCCUGGGAAGUUAGUUAUAGCGAUCAUUAUCUUAUUUUACAGAAGAGGAAAGUGAUGCCCAGAGUGGUCCUAUCCACACUUUUCUCAGGGCAUACAUAGAGGCGAAUUAAAAAAUCUCUACUAUGGAGUUUCUGUUGUGGGACAAUGGUAAUGAACCCGACUAGUGUCCAUGAGGACAUGGGUUCAAUCCCUGGCCUCGCUCAGUGGGUUAAGGAUCUGGUGGUGCCGUGAGCUGUGGUGUCAUUUUCAGACACAGCUUGGAUCGCGAGUUGCUGUGGCUCUGGUGUAGGCCGGCUGUAGCUCCAAUUCAACCCCUAGCCUGGGAACUUCCAUAUGCCUCAGGAGAGGCCCUAAAAAGACCAAAAACAAAACAAAACAAAACAAAAAACCCUCUACUGUGUGCAUAUUCACAUAAAUGCCUCCGUGUUCUGGCACAUGCUUCCCCCUCCCCUCCAUCUCCCGCUUCCCCCAGCCCCCUGUCAUCCCCUUACCUUCAGAGCUGUUCUUUCCAGCCUCAAGUGGGAGUUGGCUCUGGGCAGAGCUGAGGGGCCUGUGGGAGGGAGGUCUCCUUGACAGGAGCCGCUCUCUGAGUAGAGGGAAGCCACGUGGUCGAAUCCCUUCCCACAAGGGGCAGUCUGGUAGCCCUGCCCACCCCACUGCCCACACAGCCUGCAGCCAGGGGGGCGAGAUCCUGGGCUGGGUGGGGCAUCCACCUGUGCUCAUCACUUUGACACUACAGGCCUCAGGUGGGCAGACCACCCAGGGCUUCAGCUCUGGGGCUCUAAAGGGAGGUGGCCCCAGAGGGGAAGAGGAGCUGCAUGC
rnacentral:lncRNA from 1 species